UACGAAGGGGGCUAGCGUUGCUCGGAAUCACUGGGCGUAAAGGGUGCGUAGGCGGGUCUUUAAGUCAGGGGUGAAAUCCUGGAGCUCAACUCCAGAACUGCCUUUGAUACUGAAGAUCUUGAGUUCGGGAGAGGUGAGUGGAACUGCGAGUGUAGAGGUGAAAUUCGUAGAUAUUCGCAAGAACACCAGUGGCGAAGGCGGCUCACUGGCCCGAUACUGACGCUGAGGAGCGAAAGCCAGGGGAGCGGAACGGG
rnacentral:rRNA from 1 species